CCUGGCGGCACUAGCGCGGUGGUCCCACCUGACCCCAUGCCGAACUCAGAAGUGAAACGCCGUAGCGCCGAUGUUAGAGA
rnacentral:rRNA from 1 species